AGAGUUUGAUCCUGGCUCAGGACGAACGCUGGCGGCGUGCCUAACACAUGCAAGUCGAGCGAGGGGAGUUUCUUCGGAAACAAACCUAGCGGCGGACGGGUGAGUAACACGUGGGCAACCUACCUUAUAGAGGGGAAUAGCCUCCCGAAAGGGAGAUUAAUACCGCAUAACAUUGCUUUUUCGCAUGAAGAAGCAAUUAAAGGAGUAAUCCGCUAUAAGAUGGGCCCGCGGCGCAUUAGCUAGUUGGUGAGGUAACGGCUCACCAAGGCGACGAUGCGUAGCCGACCUGAGAGGGUGAUCGGCCACAUUGGGACUGAGACACGGCCCAGACUCCUACGGGAGGCAGCAGUGGGGAAUAUUGCACAAUGGGGGAAACCCUGAUGCAGCAACGCCGCGUGAGUGAUGAAGGUCUUCGGAUCGUAAGCUCUGUCUUCAGGGACGAUAAUGACGGUACCUGAGGARGAAGCCACGGCUUACUACGUGCCAGCAGCGCGGUAAUACGUAKGUGGCAAGCGUUGUCCGGAUUUACUGGGCGUAAARGGAGCGUAGGCGGACUUUUAAGUGAGAUGUGAAAUACCCGGGCUCAACUUGGGUGCUGCAUUUGAAACUGGAUAUCUAGAGUGCGGGARAGGUAARUGGAAUUUCUAGUGUAGCCGUGAAAUGCGUAGAGAUWAGGAAGAACACCAGUGGCGAAGCGACUUACUKGACCGUAACUGACGCUGAGCAUGAARCGUGGGGAGCAACAGGAWUARAUWCCCUGGUAGUCC
rnacentral:rRNA from 1 species